rnacentral:rRNA from 1 species
UACGGAAGGCAGCAGUAGGGAAUAUUGGGCAAUGGGCGAGAGCCUGACCCAGCCAUGCCGCGUGCAGGAAGAAGGCUUUCUGAGUCGUAAACUGCUUUUGACAGGGAAGAAUAAGGUGUACGUGUACACUGAUGACGGUACCUGCAGAAUAAGCACCGGCUAACUCCGUGCCAGCAGCCGCGGUAAUACGGAGGGUGCGAGCGUUGUCCGGAUUUAUUGGGUUUUAAAGGGUGCGUAGGCGGUCCAUUAAGUCUGGGGUGAAAGCCCGCUGCUCAACAGCGGAACUGCCCUGGAUACUGGCGGACUUGAGUACAGACGAGGUUGGCGGAAUGGACAGAGUAGCGGUGAAAUGCAUAGAUACUGUCCAGAACCCCGAUUGCGAAGGCAGCUGACCAGGGCUGUUACUGACGCUGAGGCACGAAAGCGUGGGGAGCGGAACAGGAAUUAGGAUACCC